rnacentral:tRNA from 1 species
GUUAGAGCAACAGACUCAUAAUCUGGAGGUCCUAGGUUCAAGCCCUAGCUGGUCCA